ensembl:lncRNA
UAGCUACUCUGGUAGCUAAGCUUAAACAAGCUAAUUCUCUAAUAUUGAGACAUAUUUCAGCUUAUUGCGUGUUGCCUUGCAACCAACGGUCGGAGCUGCGGACCUCCCGCCCUCCAAAGGCUGCUCCAAGCUGCCCCCCUAAGAGGAAACAGCAUGCUUCGUCGAGGGUCUAUCGAGGACCACCUGAAACGCGAAGACGGAAAUCGUCUAACUUAAUUUAAGGUGUCCGGCCUGUGGUACAGAUGUGCGCUCACAUCGAAAGAUUGCAGAGGAGACAUGCAGGGGUAUUGGAUUGAAUUCGGUUAUAAUGGCGAGGCUGCUUGCAGUAGUAAUGCUGUAGUAAUCCCUCCUGCACAUGGUUCCCUCGCUCCGAUAAACACCUCGCUCCCAUUGUUUCCUGGACUUCCUUGGUACUUUCGGGCCCCCGUGGUAUCACUUUGCCCAUGGCCUGUGGAGCUUGACAGGCUUCCUACUGUACAAGCUGGGCGGGACGGCGGGGAGGAGCGCUCUCUCACCACUCUCACCUGGGGCUAAUCACCAAUCUGGCACCAGUUAAAGCCUGCCGUCUCCUGUCGACGCAACACGACACACAUGCCAGCACGUUUGCUCAGCCUGCGCGCUGUACCCUGCCCAGCCUUCCACCGAACCUACCAGCAGCCCAGCCCCGAGCCUCACCUCAUGAGCCCCUGCAUGGGAUCACCUGGACACGAGACCCCCCUGAAUAUAUCCUUCCUUUUUGACUUCAAAACUGUCUGCCUCGGAUUUGCUUUUGGAUCCAGUUCUCAUCACCCCUAACUGUAAUGUACUGCAUGAAGCGGGGGCUAUAAACAUCUUUGUCAAUAUAGUUUUCCUACCGGAACUUACUCUGCUGAAACAUUAGCCUCAACAUUAAAAAACACAAACUUAUUCACAUACAGCGGUUUGUAUUAUAUCUUCUGAAAGAUUUCUCCUAAUAUUGUGUUUUUCAACUACCGUGUACCACAGAAUGUUGAAUCAAGUAAAGCAGUGGUCCCCAACCACCGGGCCGCGUGGGCUGUUUGGUACCGGGCCGCACCACAGAAAGCUUGUAUACAUAUUUUUUUUCUGAAAAAUGUUUGAUUUUGACAAUUGACCGGAUUUUCUCCUAAAUAUGUGCGGUCGUCCCUCUGACAUAUUUCCCACGUGUCACCCCCCCGUCGGUCGUUCCGCCCGCAACGACUACUACCC